rnacentral:rRNA from 1 species
AUUGAACGCUGGCGGCAUGCUUUACACAUGCAAGUCGGACGGUAACAGGCCGCAAGGUGCUGACGAGUGGCGAACGGGUGAGUAAUGCAUCGGAACGUGCCCAGUCGUGGGGGAUAACGCAGCGAAAGCUGCGCUAAUACCGCAUACGAUCUAUGGAUGAAAGCGGGGGACCGAAAGGCCUCGUGCGAUUGGAGCGGCCGAUGUCAGAUUAGGUAGUUGGUGGGGUAAAGGCUCACCAAGCCAACGAUCUGUAGCUGGUCUGAGAGGACGACCAGCCACACUGGGACUGAGACACGGCCCAGACUCCUACGGGAGGCAGCAGUGGGGAAUUUUGGACAAUGGGCGCAAGCCUGAUCCAGCAAUGCCGCGUGCAGGAAGAAGGCCUUCGGGUUGUAAACUGCUUUUGUACGGAACGAAACGGCUCUGGUUAAUACCUGGGGCUAAUGACGGUACCGUAAGAAUAAGCACCGGCUAACUACGUGCCAGCCGCCGCCGUAAUAC